rnacentral:rRNA from 1 species
UACGUAGGGGGCAAGCGUUGUCCGGAAUUACUGGGCGUAAAGCGUGUGUAGGCGGCCGCGUAAGUCGGAUGUGAAAGCCCUGGGCUCAACCCAGGAAGUGCACUCGAUACUGCGUGGCUCGAGUACUGGAGAGGUUGGUGGAAUUCUCGGUGUAGAGGUGAAAUUCGUAGAUAUCGAGAGGAACACCGGUGGCGAAGGCGGCCAACUGGACAGAUACUGACGCUGAGACACGAAAGCGUGGGGAGCAAACAGG